GACGUAGGAGGCGAGCGUUGUCCGGAUUUACUGGGCGUAAAGCGCGCGCAGGCGGUCGCGCAGGUCAUCUGUGAAAGCCCCCGGCUCAGCUGGGGAGGGUCACGCGAUACUGAUCGACUCGAAGGCAGGAGAGGGUAGUGGAAUUCCCGGUGUAGUGGUGAAAUGCGUAGAUAUCGGGAGGAACACCAGUGGCGAAGGCGACUACCUGGCCUGUUCUUGACGCUGAGGCGCGAAAGCUAGGGGAGCAAACGGG
rnacentral:rRNA from 1 species